GACGAACGCUGGCGGCGUGCCUAAUACAUGCAAGUUGAGCGCUGAAGGUUGGUACUUGUACCAACUGGAUGAGCAGCGCACGGGUGAGUAACGCGUGGGGAAUCUGCCUUUGAGCGGGGGACCACAUUUGGAAACGAAUGCUAAUACCGCAUAAAAACUUUAAACACAAGUUUUAAGUUUGAAAGAUGCAAUUGCAUCACUCAAAGAUGAUCCCGCGUUGUAUUAGCUAGUUGGUGAGGUAAAGGCUCACCAAGGCGAUGAUACAUAGCCGACCUGAGAGGGAGAUCGGCCACAUUGGGACGGAGACACGGCCCAAACGCCAACGGGAGGCAGCAGAAGGGAAUAUGCGGCAAUGGAGGAAAGUCUGACCGAGCAACGCCGCGUGAGUGAAGAAGGUUUUCGGAUCGUAAAACUCUGUUGGUAGAGAAGAACGUUGGUGAGAGUGGAAAGCUCAUCAAGUGAAGGUAACUACCCAGAAAGGGACGGCUAACUACGUG
rnacentral:rRNA from 1 species